rnacentral:rRNA from 1 species
AGAGGAUUAGAUCUGGUAGUCCACGCCGUAAACGAUGGAUACUAGCUGUAUGUCUACUUCAGGUAGAUGUGUGGCUAAGCGAAAGUGAUAAGUAUCCCACCUGGGGAGUACGAUCGCAAGAUUGAAACUCAAAGGAAUUGACGGGGGCCCGCACAAGCGGUGGAGCAUGUGGUUUAAUUCGAUGAUACGCGAGGAACCUUACCAGGGCUUAAAUGUAACGGGACAGAUCUAGAGAUAGAUCCUUCUUCGGACUCAUUACAAGGUGCUGCAUGGUUGUCGUCAGCUCGUGCCG